GUGCCAGCCGCCGCGGUAAUACGGGGGGAGCAAGCGUUGUCCGGAUUUAUUGGGCGUAAAGAGCGUGUAGGCGGGCCGAUAAGUCGGUGGUGAAAUCUCUCGGCUUAACCGAGAAAUCGCCAUCGAUACUGUCGGUCUUGAGUAUGGAAGAGGGAAGUAGAAUUCCUGGUGUAGCGGUGACAUGCGUAGAUAUCAGGAGGAAUACCAGUAGCGUAAGCGGCUUCCUGGUCCGUUACUGACGCUAAAACGCGAAAGCGUGGGGAGCAAACAGGAUUAGAAACCCCCGUAGUCC
rnacentral:rRNA from 1 species